AUGGGGCUGCUGCUCCUGCAGUUGAGUGUGAUGUUUGUAUCACUGUGGUACACGUUUGGAGGAGGCAGCAGACUUGACGUGGGAAGUGACACCACUCCCAAAGUGACAGUGCUGCCCCCCCUGGACACCAGCGGGAGUUCGGCCACGCUCAUGUGCCUGGCUAACGGAGGCUUCCCGUCCGACUGGAGGCUGAGCUGGUCUGUCGCGGGGAGCAGCAGGAGCGGGGAGACCAGUCUCUGGGGCCCACAGAAGGACGGCCUGUACAGCUGGAGCAGCACCCUGACCCUCCCUCUCCAGGAGUGGACCCAGGACGUCCCAGUGACCUGCCAGGCAACACGGGGCUCCCAGACUGUCACCAAGAUCCUGAAGAAAUCAGACUGCUCCUAG